AGCGAACGCUGGCGGCAGGCCUAACACAUGCAAGUCGAACGAAGUCUUCGGACUUAGUGGCGGACGGGUGAGUAACACGUGGGAACGUGCCUUUAGGUUCGGAAUAACUCAGGGAAACUUGUGCUAAUACCGAAUGUGCCCUUCGGGGGAAAGAUUUAUCGCCUUUAGAGCGGCCCGCGUCUGAUUAGCUAGUUGGUGAGGUAAAGGCUCGCCAAGGCUACGAUCAGUAGCUGGUCUGAGAGGAUGACCAGCCACAUUGGGACUGAGACACGGCGCAAACUCCUACGGGAGGCAGCAGUGGGGAAUCUUGCGCAAUGGGCGAAAGCCUGACGCAGCCAUGCCGCGUGGAUGAUGAAGGUCUUAGGAUUGUAAAAUUCUUUCACCGGGGACGAUAAUGACGGUACCCGGAGAAGAAGCCCCGGCUAACUUCGUGCCAGCAGCCGCCGUAACAC
rnacentral:rRNA from 1 species